AAGUGGCUGGUGAGUGUCCUCAGUCCCAGCUCGGAUACAGAUGUGUCGGUGUGUCUUUGUUCCCUGCAGUAGUGCCCUCUCCAGCUCAGUCAUCAUCCACAUACCCCAGGACACUGUCCAAGCCAAAGAGAUCAUCGCCUACGUCAACACGCUGAAGACUCAGGUCAGCUAUUACGCAGAGAGGCUGUCUCAAGCUGCCAAAGACCAAUCGGCCAGCGGACUGGAGUGGACGCUCGCCAGUCUGGUUGACAAGACCCGUCAGCUGGUGGCAGUGUGCGGCUGCAAGCUGCUAGCUUCAGCUAUUUAGGCCCUGAACGCAGUACGAGUACAUCGCAACCAAAGCUUCUCCUUCCGCUGAGUCUGAACAAGUAGUGCUCCGCAAUGACCAGGAUACGCUGAGAGCAAAGUACAGCGGUCACAACAGCCAGUCGUCACUGCACGUGGACUGGCACGAAGAGGAGUGGACCACACCUUCAUUUCCUGUGGAGCUUCGCAAUCCAGAAUCUUCGGUCGCCAUUUUUUCUUGCUGAUGCGGUGGUGAUAUGCUGGUUCCCGAGAAGAGAUGAACUAAUCAAAGUCAGCUUUUCAAGACAGCCCCAAGACUCUUCGCAACUUGUGUUCAAAUGUGAGGCCGUUGUCAGGUGAUAAAUGCAAGGAAGAGGCACUCAACUGACAUGAAACAUGUCAAAGACAACAUGAAGGUGACAUUUCAACAUAGGCAAAAAGUGGUUCAAGAACCUGCCAUAGCUUCUACUGUCCUGAACCUUUUCCCAAGAUUUCUGGAUACACCUGGCUUGAUUGACCAAGACUUCACAAUGCUGUUUUUUGGGGAGGAAGUGUCUGGUAAGUUCCUUGCAAAGUGGCCAACAUUCUUCAAGCCAAGGAUCAUCAAAGAUUGCAAAAAUCUGUCCCAGAGUACAGAAUUGGAUGAGCUGCUCAUUUCUGCACAGCGUUACUCUAACGAGGCUGUUUGGGACUGCGAGGCGGCUGCCCUCUUUUGCUGCUUCACUUCACUCCAUCAUCUAAGGGAAGGACGUCUUCAAAGAUUAGCACAUCAGAUGCUGCUCACCACCUAAUGAAAUUCAUCAAGGUGGGAGGUAGCACAGAGGCUUUUCUUAAGGCUGGCCCCACUCAGCCAUUCGUCCUGUGGGUUGGAGAAAGAAAGAACAUCAUCCAAAGUUUCUACCCAAAGUUUCUACAUUGUCCUAGAUCAAAAGGUCAUUCCCUGUGUGACACAGAUGGGAGAUGCAGGUUUUGACAAGGCAAAACUUUUCAAGGCACAUUUUUUAAUUUGCCGUGUCCUUUGAUAAGG